AUUUUAUUACAUAUGAGUCGUCUAUUAUCAAAGAAUACGGUUCAAAACCUGCAUUAAAUAAAGGUUAAUACUUAACCUGUUAUUUAUCUAAGAUGUCGUUCCGAAGAGUUUUGUGACUGCCGAUGGAAUACAAAGUCAAUAAUUCGUUUUUCUGAUUUACCAAUCAUUGUCCAAAAGUCAGAUUGCCGCCUUUGUUAAUAGUCGACUCAUAUUUAGCUUUAGGAUAAAAAGCCCUAUAAAUGUAUGCUAUGCGA